rnacentral:rRNA from 1 species
CAGCUAAGGUCCCAAAAUAUAUGUUAAGUGGAAAAGGAUGUGGCGUUGCCCAGACAACUAGGAUGUUGGCUUAGAAGCAGCCAUCAUUUAAAGAGUGCGUAAUAGCUCACUAGUCGAGUGACACUGCGCCGAAAAUGUACCGGGGCUAAACAUAUUACCGAAGCUGUGGAUUGUCCUUUGGACAAUGGUAGGAGAGCGUUCUAAGGGCGUUGAAGCAUGAUCGUAAGGACAUGUGGAGCGCUUAGAAGUGAGAAUGCCGGUGUGAGUAGCGAAAGACGGGUGAGAAUCCCGUCCACCGAUUGACUAAGGUUUCCAGAGGAAGGCUCGUCCGCUCUGGGUUAGUCGGGUCCUAAGCUGAGGCCGACAGGCGUAGGCGAUGGAUAACAGGUUGAUAUUCCUGUACCACCUAUAAUCGUUUUAAUCGAUGGGGGGACGCAGUAGGAUAGGCGAAGCGUGCGAUUGGAUUGCACGUCUAAGCAGUAAGGCUGAGUAUUAGGCAAAUCCGGUACUCGUUAAGGCUGAGCUGUGAUGGGGAGAAGACAUUGUGUCUUCGAGUCGUUGAUUUCACACUGCCGAGAAAAGCCUCUAGAUAGAAAAUAGGUGCCCGUACCGCAAACCGACACAGGUAGUCAAGAUGAGAAUUCUAAGGUGAGCGAGCGAACUCUCGUUAAGGAACUCGGCAAAAUGACCCCGUAACUUCGGGAGAAGGGGUGCUCUUUAGGGUUAACGCCCAGAAGAGCCGCAGUGAAUAGGCCCAAGCGACUGUUUAUCAAAAACACAGGUCUCUGCUAAACCGUAAGGUGAUGUAUAGGGGCUGACGCCUGCCCGGUGCUGGAAGGUUAAGAGGAGUGGUUAGCUUCUGCGAAGCUACGAAUCGAAGCCCCAGUAAACGGCGGCCGUAACUAUAACGGUCCUAAGGUAGCGAAAUUCCUUGUCGGGUAAGUUCCGACCCGCACGAAAGGCGUAACGAUUUGGGCACUGUCUCAACGAGAGACUCGGUGAAAUCAUAGUACCUGUGAAGAUGCAGGUUACCCGCGACAGGACGGAAAGACCCCGUGGAGCUUUACUGUAGCCUGAUAUUGAAAUUCGGCACAGCUUGUACAGGAUAGGUAGGAGCCUUUGAAACGUGAGCGCUAGCUUACGUGGAGGCGCUGGUGGGAUACUACCCUAGCUGUGUUGGCUUUCUAACCCGCACCACUUAUCGUGGUGGGAGACAGUGUCAGGCGGGCAGUUUGACUGGGGCGGUCGCCUCCUAAAAGGUAACGGAGGCGCUCAAAGGUUCCCUCAGAAUGGUUGGAAAUCAUUCAUAGAGUGUAAAGGCAUAAGGGAGCUUGACUGCGAGACCUACAAGUCGAGCAGGGUCGAAAGACGGACUUAGUGAUCCGGUGGUUCCGCAUGGAAGGGCCAUCGCUCAACGGAUAAAAGCUACCCCGGGGAUAACAGGCUUAUCUCCCCCAAGAGUUCACAUCGACGGGGAGGUUUGGCACCUCGAUGUCGGCUCAUCGCAUCCUGGGGCUGUAGUCGGUCCCAAGGGUUGGGCUGUUCGCCCAUUAAAGCGGUACGCGAGCUGGGUUCAGAACGUCGUGAGACAGUUCGGUCCCUAUCCGUCGUGGGCGUAGGAAAUUUGAGAGGAGCUGUCCUUAGUACGAGAGGACCGGGAUGGACAUACCUCUGGUGUACCAGUUGUCGUGCCAACGGCAUAGCUGGGUAGCUAUGUGUGGACGGGAUAAGUGCUGAAAGCAUCUAAGCAUGAAGCCCCCCUCAAGAUGAGAUUUCCCAACUUCGGUUAUAAGAUCCCUCAAAGAUGAUGAGGUUAAUAGGUUCGAGGUGGAAGCAUGGUGACAUGUGGAGCUGACGAAUACUAAUCGAUCGAAGACUUAAUCAA